AGUGAACGCUGGCGGUAGGCCUAACACAUGCAAGUCGAACGGCAGCACAGUAAGAGCUUGCUCUUACGGGUGGCGAGUGGCGGACGGGUGAGGAAUACAUCGGAAUCUACUUUUUCGUGGGGGUUAAGGUAGGGAAACUUACGCUAAUACCGCAUACGACCUAGGGGGGAAAGCAGGGGAUCUUCGGACCUUGCGCGAUUGAAUGAGCCGAUGUCGGAUUAGCUAGUUGGCGGGGUAAAGGCCCACAAAGGCGACGAUCCGUAGCUGGACUGAGAGGAUGAUCAGCCACACUAGAGCGUAGACGCGGUCCAGACUCCUGCGAUAGGCAGCAGAGUGGAAUGUUAGACAGUAGGCGCGAGCAUGGUCCAGUCAUACCGCGUGGGAUAAGAAGGCCUUCGGGUUGUGAAGACCUUUUGUUGGGAGAAAACAGCAGCAGGUUGAUACGACGCUGUUGUGACGGUACCCGGAGAAGAAGCACCGGCUAACUUCGUG
rnacentral:rRNA from 1 species